AGCCAGCUGCUAGUGUGGCGUAGAGCAGUGAACGUCAACUGGCGGCCCGCAGCCAAAGCGUUUUGUCUGGCCCGCAGAAUAAUCAUGGAUUCAGAAAA